AUGAAGGUGCAUAGUUCAUUAUGCAGAGAGAUGAAAGGGGGUUCAAGUAGGAAGGUUACUGUGAUCAAGGUAGAGGUUUCAGAGAGAAGAACGAAAUUUUCCAAUGGUUUUUUUAGAAUGAAUCCUCUCGGGUUCGAUAUACAAAUAGGUUUCGGAUUGAAGCUUAAAGGCAACGAUGCUGGUUCCAGAAUAGGUGUGCCAAAGUGCUUUCCGACAUCUUAUUUGGAUAGUAGCUUCCAUUAUAGCAUGCUUUUUGGCCUUGGUGUUGGUAGCAGCCGCGAGUUAGCUUGA